CUACGGGACGCUGCAGUGGGGAAUAUUGCACAAUGGGCGCAAGCCUGAUGCAGCCAUGCCGCGUGUAUGAAGAAGGCCUUCGGGUUGUAAAGUACUUUCAGCGGGGAGGAAGGGAGUAAAGUUAAUACCCUUGCUCAUUGACGUUACCCGCAGAAGAAGCACCGGCUAACUCCGUGCCAGCAGCCGCGGUGAAUACGGAGGGUGCAAGCGUUAAUCGGAAUUACUGGGCGUAAAGCGCACGCAGGCGGUUUGUUAAGUCAGAUGUGAAAUCCCCGGGCUCAACCUGGGAACUGCAUCUGAUACUGGCAAGCUUGAGUCUCGUAGAGGGGGGUAGAAUUCCAGGUGUAGCGGUGAAAUGCGUAGAGAUCUGGAGGAAUACCGGUGGCGAAGGCGGCCCCCUGGGCGAAGACUGACGCUCAGGUGCGAAAGCGUGGGGAGCAAACAGGAUUAGAUACCCGAGUAGUC
rnacentral:rRNA from 1 species